rnacentral:rRNA from 1 species
CAGUCGCCGCGGGAAUACGAAGGGUGCAAGCGUUACUCGGAAUUACUGGGCGUAAAGCGUGCGUAGAUGGUGGUUUAAGUCCGUUGUGAAAGCCCUGGGCUCAACCUGGGAAUUGCAGUGGAUACUGGGUCACUAGAGUGUGGUAGAGGAUAGUGGAAUUUCCGGUGUAGCAGUGAAAUGCGUAGAGAUCGGAAGGAACAUCUGUGGCGAAGGCGACUAUCUGGGCCGACACUGACACUGAGGCACGAAAGCGUGGGGAGCAAACAGGAUUAGAUACCCGGGUAGUCCCUGUCUCUUAUAC